rnacentral:rRNA from 1 species
AGUGAACGCUGGCGGUAGGCCUAACACAUGCAAGUCGAACGGCAGCACAGUAAGAGCUUGCUCUUACGGGUGGCGAGUGGCGGACGGGUGAGGAAUACAUCGGAAUCUACUUUUUCGUGGGGGAUAACGUAGGGAAACUUACGCUAAUACCGCAUACGACCUACGGGUGAAAGCAGGGGAUCUUCGGACCUUGCGCGAUUGAAUGAGCCGAUGUCGGAUUAGCUAGUUGGCGGGGUAAAGGCCCACCAAGGCGACGAUCCGUAGCUGGUCUGAGAGGAUGAUCAGCCACACUGGAACUGAGACACGGUCCAGACUCCUACGGGAGGCAGCAGUGGGGAAUAUUGGACAAUGGGCGCAAGCCUGAUCCAGCCAUACCGCGUGUGUGAAGAAGGCCUUCGGGUUGUAAAGCCCUUUUGUUGGGAAAGUAAAGCAGCAGGUUAAUACCCCGCUGUUCUGACGGUACCCAAAGAAUAAGCACCGGCUAACUUCGUG